GCACGUAAAAUGUGUAAAUCGCUCUGGAUAAGAGCGUCUGCUAAAUGACUUAAA
rfam:Salmo salar isolate Sally breed double haploid chromosome ssa19, whole genome shotgun sequence.